UGUAGGGUAGCCAAGGAUUCCCCCUUAGACCAAGAACAUCUGUCCUUAGAGAAACAGAAAAGGUGGCCCCAGGACUCCCUAACUGAAAUCAUUUUCCUCAGGUAGAAUUGGGGGCGUCCCUGUAACCUCAGGCUUAGCUUUUCUCCUUUCUUGAUCGUGCCUGAUCGUUGCUGUGAAUGCCAGAAACAGGCAACGUAAAUCCAUCUGAUCCUACCUGAAUGCAGAGAAAUUAAUAGAAUUUGAAAAACAUAAAAGUGAGAUCCUGAAGAAUUUGUUAGCGUGAGUACUUAAAAGCUAUAGUAAGAAAGGUAAAAAGAAAAGUUUUACUAGAGCUUAUACAUUUACUAGGUGAAAGUGGUUUAGUAAAUAUUUUGAGACUUACACUAUUCAUUAAAAUGAAUCACAGAUGCUUACUGUGUAGCAUUGAGAAAAGGAGAGUAAAGAAUCUAAUGAGAUCGCAUGGAUAAAGUGACUUUAAGAAGUUCAAAGCAUUCUCCAAAUGAUAUUAGAAUUUAGGAAAACAUAAGAUGACCCAUGAAUGGCUUAAAAAAAGAAGAGAUGUAUAGCGGAAGAAAAUUAGCAGUUUAAAUAUUCAUAAAUCUGAAUUAGAACUAACUUCUAGUUUGUAUUUAUUACAUAAAUUAUGGUUUUCACCAGUCAUUUUGGGCAUUCACGUAUUAUCUGUUGCAUCCAGAAGAUGGAUAAGACCUUGAAACAGUCCUCCCUAAGCCUCUUGUCUUUUUGUUAGGAGCAUUUAGUUUUGAUUUUUUAAUUAAAAUAACAAUAACAACAAUUAGUUUUAGUUCACUGGUAGAGAGAUGCAAGCUCACCUAAGUUCCUUCACUUCCUGUUCUAGAGCAAGGACCAGCUGGAAUGUGAGAGAGAGAUUUCCCUGGUAGCCCUAAACUCCAGAUACACACACAGCAGUGCCUCUUUCCCAGGGUGUCUCCGAUUUUUUUCUGUGGGCCACCUCCCUCCUCAAGCUUGCCAAUACCAAUAUUAAAUUUCUAUCAUGUGGAAAUGUCCGAAAAUAAAAAUAUAAGCAACUUGUUUUUUUUAAUAAAUUAGAAAGUCCUCGUGCCACAGUUGGGAGCAAUUGCAAAUGCCUGCUUAAAUCUGCACAGAAACGUGAGGAUUCUAACCUUCCUCAGGUAGGUUCUUUACUUGAGGCUGUUACUAGGUUUCAUGAGGCCUGUGAAGCCCUAGGAUUGCCUGCAAAAUUUUUCUUUAUGCAUUUUUUAGGGAAGGUUAAUAAUAGCUUGCAUCAGAUACUGGAAGGUAGUUAUGAUCCAGAGAAUGUUAACAGUGACUGUAAAGAGUAAAAUUUGAAGCUCUAAACUAGAAUCAAAAACUGUGAGGACCCCAGAGCCCCUCCAGCCAGACCCGCCCUCCUGCAGGUGAGAAAAGGCAGCCAACCAAGCAGAGCUGCACAACUACGAUUUAGUAAAACAACAGCCAGUGAAAAUUGGUCAGUGAAACUCCAGACUCUUGCUUCCUAAUCGAGGACCUCUUCCACUCCAUGUGAUACCAAUCUUUCCUUUGGCUGUGGUAUAAAAGCCAAAUUUUGUUUUAUGUCCCUUAAAAUAAUUUUUUCUGUGAUGUAGAAACCUAAUUAUGAGAAUUACAUGUUUUUCAAAGAACAUAAAACAUUUUGUAAUUACAGCCUUAGGCAUCUGUUGGUAUGAAUAAAUGUUAAAUGACUUUCAUUUAUAGAUUAAAAAAUUUGUUUUUCUAAAAAAAAAAAAAACAGCUCUAGUGGUAGAUAGUAAGCCUUGAAUUCUUGUUAGGUUUCCUUCCUGAAAAUGACAGAUUGUGUACAUGUCACAUGACAUGGUGUGCCUAAUUUUCAAGGAGCUUUGUUGUAUCUAUUUCAUUGUAAGUGCAUGUUAAGCGUCUCGAUAAUUAAUAUUUAAUUUACACAAAUAAAUCCAUUGUCCCUUACAGUAAAUAUGAGUUAGUGGAUGCUCUUUUAUAAUAUUUAUGAAAAUCUCAAACCAAGAUCAUACCAUGCCAUCUAUUACCAAAAAAAAGUUUCUACUUAAUGUUUGAUUAUAUUAAAUUUUCUAAUACUUCCAAAUAAUUAACGAAAAUGCUAAGCAAGUCAUGUUGUUCAUUUAAGUAGCAGCUUUGUACUUGCUCAACAGCAAAAACACUACAUCUGAAAAAAUGUCGACUGCUCUCAGAAUCAUCAAACUAAGGCAUUUAAUAUUUUCAGCAAGCCACCUAAAUUGGUUACUCCUUUUAGAGGAGAGUACAGGACAAAAAAAUGGAAAAGAUAUUCUAAUAGUAAGUUAUCCUAAAAUGUUUAAGCCACUAAUGUUCUAUGAUUUAAAACAAAUAAAAUAUGGUUAGCUUGUAGCCAAGGGAAAAAAAAAAUUCCUGGGCAUGAAUCAUUGCUUACAUUCUUUUCCAUCCACAAACAAUUUCAUUUGGGAAAGUUGCCACAUAGUAUCGACAGUGACAACAAAUGGCAUUGUCCCGUGAACAUCUGUUUCCGACUCCCACACUGAUACUGCAGGCUGGGCACUUAGGAGUUAGUUGGUCUUCACAAGUUGCUGAGCUACAAAGGAACUGGAAAUCACUGGUACGUUGAGGUUUUAUUAUUGGAACACAGGAAAACUUUAUCAUCAUGCUGGGAAGUUCUGUAUCUUUUGAAAUAUUGGAACCGGGGUUAUGUUAGCACAUUAAGCCAUGCGGAAGACUACUUCUGAAGAAAGGGGAGGAAAAAAAAUUGUUUCUUGUCUAUUAUGUCCUUGGGUUGAGGUUCCCACUCAAUCUUCAUAUAACUUCCUUACCCACCCUCAGCUGAAAACUAUUUUGUUUUUUAAAAAAUGCUCUGGCGUUCAGCUUCUUCUUAAAAUUGAGAGAACAGAAUACCAAAGGAAUCCUAAGCUAAACACGAUAAAUAAACACUAUUGUUUCUUAACAAAAAAACCAAAUGAAACCAGAAGAGCUUUUAUAUACACUUUUUAUUUUUUCUAAGUUCACACUACCCUGCUUAUGUUUUCUGAAAACCUGGCAACGUAAGGCUCAUAAUGACUUCGGACUAGAAUCUCCUGACCUCAGCUCACAGUGGCAAAAGAAGGGCAAAGAGCUGCUGGGGAAAAGCCAGCAAGAGUGGGAUAAGGGGGGAGGUGGUGAGCAGACAGACAGGGACCCUGCCUUCGCUGCUGAACCUGCGCUUCGGGGCUAACGUGUAUGCUGGUCUAUCAAUAACCAUGCAAGAGCACAGGACAGAUACCCACCCUGCUCUACACCUUUUCUCGGUGUGGCAUUUAGUUGUAGCAAAAGCAGUAAUGGAAGUGAAAGCUAUUCACAAUGAUACUUCUAAAUCAAUGUAUAUUCACACUAUUUACAUGCUCCAAAUGAAUUUGCAUAUUGCUGCAGCUAAGAGGCUUCCCUCUUUUGGGGGGUUAAAAAUAGGAAAUGUUGAGUGGAAUAUGCAACCAACGUCUGACUUGCGUAAGAUUUUUUAAAUCUUUCCUUCCAAAUCGACAUAUUAGAGCAUGUUCCAGAAGACAUUGUUUACCUCGUUUGGCAUUGCACAAAAUAGGCACUGGCGCUCAAAAAUAUAUUUGUUAAAUAGAUCACUAAAUGAAAUAAUCACAGAGCUGUCUGGUUAAAGAUAGGACAAUAAUAGAUUCCUACUGGAGAGAAAUGAUUCUAGUACUUAUUUUGCCUAGAAUAUAUUUCACCAGAAUACACAUAUAGCUUAUGUUUUAAAAAAUAAUCUAAUUAUUAUUAAAUACCACUUCUUCAUAAUUUCACAUGCUGAAAACCACUACAACUGUAACUAUAAAAUAAUCAUUCAGACUAUCCUUACUACUUAUGAGAAAAUAUAUCUGCAUUUGGAGUUUUUCCUUCAUUCAAUUCCAGUCCAUACUGAUUUUUUUUAAAAAGGCCAAAGUACUUGAUUGUAUCUUAUACUCAAUUCUCAAAUAAUUGCACUUAUUUCAAUGGUAGACUGUCAUACAAAGAAAAGGAAAAUAAUAGCACAUGUAUAAUUAGUCAUCAAAACAAACAUUUUAAUAAACAGGCAAUCAAAAAUUAGACAUAGACCUGUAAUAUUCAUGCAUAUGAAUCCUUUUAUCACAAAAAAAAGAAAAAAUUGGAAUUUUAUGUUAGAUAGGACAAUAAUAGCCUAUGUUUACAUGUGCUUUUGUGUUUUUCAAUAUACUGUUGCCAUGUCACUGGCUCCUCACAAGGCCCUUGGAGGACAGGUAAGGACAGCCAUUCGCAUCCAACUCAAUCCUGAAGAUUGAGUUAAUUCAAAUGGUGCUACACCUGCAGUUUUCCCUGCUACCCUCUCCACAGACAGAGCAGUUCUGUUCUCUGUUCUAACAGGUCUCCUCUCUACUACACACCCUUUGUAAAUUCUAAUUGCGUGUUUACAAGUGUCUCCCCCAGCUGUGCCUGGCUAGUAAGAAAGGACUAAGUAUUUUAAUUGAUCUUGUAUCCCUAACUGCUUUGCACUGUGCCUGGUAUAUUGGGGGGCUCCAUUUAUGUUUGCUGCAUUAAUUAAUCAGAAAACUGUGGCUCAGAGAGGAUAUGCGUGUGCGUGUGCACGCGUGUGCGUGUGCAUACACAGGUGUGUACCCUCCAUAUCUGUGAAUUCUGCAUCUUCUGUAUCCAUGGAUUCAACCAUGGAUUGAAAGUAUUCGGGAAAAACAGUUGCAUCUGUACUGAACAUGUGCAGACUUUUUCCCCUUGUCAUUAUUCCUUAAACAAUGCAGUGCAAUAACUAUUUACAUAGCACUUACAUUAUGUUAGGUAUUAUAGGUAAUCUAAAGAAGAUUAAAAGUAUAUGAGAGGAUGUACAUAAGUUAUAUUGCAAACACUAAGCCGUUUUUGUAUCAGAGACUUGAGCAUCCUUGGAUUUUUGGUGCCUGCAGGGGGUCCUGGAACCAAUGCCCAUGGAUACCAAGGGAUCACUGUACACAUAUACACUUACAUGUAUGUAUAUAAACGCUUUGACCCAAUGCCAUAAAGCUCGUUAGUGGUCCAGGCGAAACAGAAUUGACUCUUGGUCCAAGGCUGUCCAUUAUGUACUACUUCUUCCAACUUAAUUGGCAUUAACUGAUCUUUUAUAGCUGCAAUCUGAUAAUAACCAAAUAAGUUAACAAAAAGGCAAGCAAUCAGUGCUGAUUUUAGUAAGGAAGUAAAGAUAAAAUUCUUCAUCACACCUUGUCUCACCCAGAGGAAACAUCAGCCUGCCAAUUUUACAAACAUGCCAGUAAAAGAAUUUCCUUGGCAAACUGACAGCAUGGAAAUGUCCUUUUUAAAACUCAAUUAACCCCCUAAAUUCAUGAGCUUGCUAGAAACAUCUCUUAUGCCAUGGAAUACAAGGCUCAGGGAGAUGCUCUUCCCCUUUCUAUUUCUGGACAUCUUCUUUUGUUCAUGCUCGCUAAUAAUAGUGGCAGAGCUAGGGUUGGCUAUUUAUAGACCUGAAAGCAGCAUGACUCUGUGAACACUUUAUUCAUUUAUAUUUCCUGUGUUUAUUGUUACCUUACCUUUUUAGUAAUUAAAAGUGUUCAUCCAAGAUUUUAUUUAGUAACAAAUCAGUUGUAAAUAGCUUUUCUUUUAAUAUAUGAAAGCCUAUAUAUAGACUCAAUAAAAUAUUUUACUCCCAUUUCCUUAUUAACUAAAAACAGAUUUCAAUGGGGGGGAGGGGGGGAGAACAGUAAACAGCUGUGUUUUCUUUCCAAAUUUUAUAUAAAAUCCAAUUAUUUGACCUUCAGGUGUUUUGAUUAAAAGAGUCUCACUUUAUGUGGUAACUCACUCAAAUGUAGAUAUUGAAGCAAAAUUACUACUAUAGCCAACAUACUUAUAUUUAUUAAUCAGACUAUAACUUUAAAAUAUAUCUGAUUGUUAUAUAAUAUGGUUAGAAAAUAUAAUGUUAAAAAAUGCAUCCUCUGCUCCAUAAAAAAUUGCUAGCUAGAAUACAGGGUCUCUAAAAACAGUCCCACUAGGACUUCCAUUUGAAACCAAUGGGUGCUCUGCUCUAAGCAGCACUCAAAACCAGAAAGCUCAGCUUUGCCAGUUACUUCUGCUAUUCCCUUACCUUGAUUUUUGAUAAGCGAGUUAGACCCAAUCCCUUUAUAAGCAGCUCCUAGUGAAGACAGUCACAUCAAACAUCAAUCCAUUUCUAUACCACAUCUAAGACAUCAAAAAUGCACAUUCUGUCAGCCUCAGCCAGCAUUCCAUAUCUGCCGUGCCAUUCAUUACGUAAUACAGACUGUUCACAUCACAAAGUGAAACUCAAGAGAGUUCGUAUGCACCUAUUUUAAAACAGACCAAUUUUUAAGACCCUCAGCACACAGUAUCUGCUACAUAACACGAUGGGCUCUGUCUCCGAGAGGGGAAGUGCCUGGUAACACAGGUGGUGUCCGGGUCUGCUUUUCCUCACAGCCUCAAAACCCGCUAGCACAGAGACAAUUAGGGUUUUAAUCUACUAUAGUCUAUUUAGGAAAAUAAUCAGCAGUUAAUUAGAGCAUUCAAUCUCAAAAGCUCUCUUUCAAUAAAAGCAUUUUUUACUCCUUUGCUCGAAAACUGAUCAAACUAAGAGAUUCAGCAAAAGUGGGAGCAAUUAUGUAAACAUUUAUUCACCAAUACUCAAUAAGGGAUGAUUUAGCUACUGGAUUUACCCUGUGCUCAAAUGCAAUGGAACAAUAGAUUUUAGGUGCUGUUAAGUGCCAUUUUGAUGUGUUUUUGUCUAAGGUUUUGUUUUGUUAAAGUUAACGCUAAAUACUUCUUAGCUCAGAAACCAUUGUGAGGCAUUACAUCUGUGCAGCAGAGUGCAUUCAGAUCUAAGCUAAUUAUUGAUAUUUUAGGGGAUUUCCCCCCCUAUCUGCUGAAGUGAAAUCAGAUAGGGUUCAAAGCUGUGGAAAAAUAUACAGCAAAAACACAUGAAAUAAUAUUCUGUGGAUAUUAACUCCUCUCUCUGAUAACUGUUUUGUCUGGCACAUUUGAUUUAUAAAUCAAAGAACAUUAAUCAAAAUAGUUCUACAAAUGAUUUGACUUAGCUUGAAUUCCCAACUAGUGAGCCAUCUGAGUAAAUAAUUCCUAAUCAACUGCUCAAGAAAGAUCAUCUCACAAAAAGACAUAUCUGGAAACAUAGUUUUGUUUUCAUUUCAAAAGAUAAACUCAUUUUCACUCUCUCUUACAAAGAAUGCCAACACAUUUCUAUUAUUCCCCACAGAUUCUUCCAGAAUCCUCUCAUUUACUGGAGAACCUGAGCACACAGGCGGUCGCUGUGCUACGUGUCAUAACUGCUCGUGUACAAACACAGCCAGACAUGAAAUGCCUUAGCAGAACUGCAAGUCAGACACGAAUUUACCUGAAACUAAUGAGCUGGAGCUUCGAAAACCCUCACCUGCACAAGCACUUCCAAGGCUCUUCGAGGGGCUCAAGCGAAGCUGAACUCUCAGUUGGAUCUUUCCAAACACGUGACUGAAAUGGAGUUAUGUCUUUGAGAUUGCAACACUUCAUUGAUAAAACCAUAAAAGUAAUUCUCAAUGGUCAAAUAAAACUCCUUCCAUGACAUUCAUAACCACAAAUACCAACACGUGAGCGUAAAAUAUUAAUGUUUUCAAAGCAUGUCAUUCCUCACAAAAGUGAACCAGGACCAUUGUUUUUACUGCAAAUAUCUGGUGUGAUUUGAACUUAGUGUCAACAGCAAUAUUAUUGUGUGCAAAGCACCUUCUCGCCACUUAAUUUAGGUGCCAAACAGAUCCAUAAGUUUUUUUCCUCCAAAGCUGGAGCAAGAAUCAAUUAGAGUCUGUAAUAAUGUGUUAACUAGCUAAUACCACAGUUAACAUUAAGGGGCAUUUCAAGCCUCAGAGUUUUCAGCAGUAGUUAGAGCUUUUCUUUCAUUAAAUCCGUAAGAUCUAUAAUUGAAAGAACACUCUGAGAGAUGCCUUUCAUCAGCUCCACGAGUUACAUUUCCUGCUUUGAUAACUGUACAAGGAAAAUCUAAGGCACUUCAAGCCACCCAAUUACGUUUGAUUAGCUAGUCAAAAUAACGUAACAGCUUUUCAUCACCCAAAGGAAAACUUUUGAAGAAUUCUGCUGCCAACAUUUCUUCGCAAACACUCAUCUAUAUCAUUAUUUUAUAAGGGGAAAUGUAAUAUUUAGUUAAGUUUUUUAAAAAAUUAGGCACUAAUUAAAGCCUCUUAUUCAUCACAACUUCAGAUCAAAAAGGCCCGACUGCGACGACAUUAUGUGGGUAGUAGAACAGCAUUUGUAGCCAUCUCAGAGUCGACAGGAUACAGGAUACAGUGGUCACAAUGAAACAGGCGGCCUUAAACUGAGCCGACCGUUCAGAGAACACGUCUGAAAACAGGAUAUGUGCUGAAAGCUCUAUGAUAGAGACACAGAUUUGGCAGGGAAAAAUUAUUUGCAACCCCAAAUCUUUGCAUGUCACUAUUUUUCUAGCAAAUGAAUGUUGAGUGUGCCUGUCUAAAAAUCAGGAGCACUAAUUAGGAAGUCAUCUAAAACAUCAUUCUAAGAAUUUUCAGGUUAUUGAGAAUAUGUACUGAGUGUGGUUUAAAAGUAAAGCCAAGAUGCAUAGGUAUUGCCCUCACCACUGAGGAGUUUGUGUCCCGCCUUGAAGUUUUGAGCACAUCAGUUCAACAUGUAUCCAGUGUCUACGAUGUUUCAUUCCCAUAAAAAUAUGUUUUUAAUUUAAAUGAAAUAAUUAUACUGCUCUCUCAGGUAAGUCAUGUUGUAAACAGGGCAUUUAGAAAUGUGAUAGUCAAUUCAUAGGAGGUGGCCCUGCUGUGGACUUCACAAACCAACAGUCCUGAACUACUGAUGAAAGACCAGUUACAUCCAUGCUCCCAAAAUGAAAGACAGAGACCAGGACUUUAAAGGCACCAGUCUGAGAUUGCAUUCCACCUUUGCUAUGCUCUUAUUGCACAAUAACGGACAGACUUUAGACCUAUUGGCCAAUUAUUCCAUCUGUCAUGUAAAGAAAAGGCAUUCUUAUGGAAUUAGAAGUUGGAUCAAGUUUGGUUGUAACAUUAAUCCCCACUGUUGUGCAAUCUGAGUGGCGUUUCCAGACACACAAGAUAAUGUGGUUUUCUUUUAGCUGUUGUAGAGAAAUGGUCAGCAGCAGCGCUCCAUAAGCCCUGUGUACGUCACACUUAAUCUUUCUCCUCUAAGUUUCUGGCUGUUCCCUCACAGUACAGCACAAGCAAAGAAUUCACAGAAUUGGUCCUCCUCAGUCAAAAACAUAGCAUUUGAAAAUUAUUUCCAAGCAGCAAAUUACAAGUGAGGAAAACACUGGUGACCAUUAGUGGCACUGUGUGGAGAUGUGGCUUAUGAGAUUUAAGUAGAACUUCCUUGCUGUGCACAAAAACCCUCACAACUACUUGAAAACAAGAGAAUUUCAGAGUUGACUUUGUAUGAGCAGGUGGGAUUCGUACCUACUCAACUUGCUACGUCCACCCUCAGUAUUCUUUCUCGCCCUUCCUAACCCACUGAAGCUGAACUGCCAUCUCCAACAGAAAAUGCCUGCAUGGAAGUCACCUUGUAGGGUGGAAGGAACAGAUAGAAGUUCUAUCGACUAUCACUAAAUACAGCCCAUCUCUGGGGUCUGUCAGUCCUCUGUUCCCCCUGCCUUCUCCACUCAUCCUCAGACCUGCGGACUCUGAGUCUUCCUUGCUCAAGCACAUCCCAUCUGAAGGGUGGAUGCAGAUCUAGCUGAGGACAGGGGUAGCAACCAUUUGGUUCCUGAAACCACACUGCUAUAGAAGGUAGUACCCAAGGGUGUCCCUGGGAUCCUGGGGCAUAAGAUGGGAAGGGAAAAAAAGUAAAUUGAGUCAGAAGAGAGAGAAAGUAAAUUGGGUCAGGACAAGGAGAAAGGGAAGAAAGUGGAAUAAAUAAAAAGAAAAUGAUGCAGAAGAUUAGAAUUUCUCCAAGAGAGUCGGCCAGGGCCCCCGUGCCGUUGGCUGCCCGAGCACUCGCUCAUCCAGGAGAGUACGGGAGUGCAGAGGGGAAUUAGGUUUAAGUAUCAGACAUUCAUGAAAUACCCAGCUGCCUGCCGGAAGAGGUGCUGUAGGUGUCGUUUAUGUUAUUCUUGACGGUGGGUGGUAUUCUUGGGUUAGAGAUUAAUGUCUUUAACGUGAAGACUGGUUUAAGUGCCCAAUUUCCAUGCAGCCAUUCUGCAAAUGGAUGUGGAGCUUUCAAAGAUUUGUAUGAUCUACUUCCCAAGCUGUAGAAGAGUCAGUCAGAGCAAAAAGUCAUUCUUUACUUAUCCUGCAAAAUAGAAAAAUCUAUUUUACCUCAGAGGUUCAGAGGGCAAAGUCCUUCAGAAGUAUGUUAAGGGGUGUCACAGAAGAGUCAUGUUUUUUGGUUUUUUUUUAACCCGUUGCCUGACUUUGUAUGACAGUAUACAGACAGGGAACCGGGGGCUCAGACUCAGCGAGUUCUACCUCCCCCAAACCGAGGGACUAACUCUGGCAGGACUUCCACACGGUCUGUGAGCAAUUUGUGUGCCCUGCUGGCCAAGUGCAAGUAUUAGAGUAAGCAGGGACCCUAAUUAUUCUCAGAAACCAGGCUUGUAACUACUUCCAAGCUGACAAAACUGCUUCUACUAUUUAUUCAGUAGGAACUGGUGCUGGGCAUUGGGAGGUUGGAAGGGGUGGGGAAAGCCUACCCAGGUAUUCACAGCACACCUGCCUGCCUCAGCCUGAGCCCUCCAGGGAGAGCCGGGCUUGCAAACUGAGGCUUAGGCUGCCCUAAUGGCUAGCCCUGUUCCUGCUCUCAUGAGCACUUGCUGAAAGAUUCUGGACUCAGUUUCCUAUGAUGUCCUCCUCUAAUUAAAAAAACGAUGAAUUGGCCGGGCGCUGUGGCUCACGCCUGUA